rnacentral:rRNA from 1 species
GGGGCGGUAUCANGAGUNUGAGUAGAGAUGCUAUGUAAGGUUGAUGAACAGUACUAUAACUGUUGCCUCGGGCGGGAACAGACGGCCCCGUAACACUGGGCCGCCCCCGCCAGAGGACCCCCUAACUCUGUUUCUAUAAUGUUUCUUCUGAGUAAACAAGCAAAUAAAUUAAAACUUUCAACAACGGAUCUCUUGGCUCUGGCAUCGAUGAAGAACGCAGCGAAAUGCGAUAANGUAAUGUGAAUUGCAGAAUUCAGUGAAUCAUCGAAUCUUUGAACUGCACAUUGCUGCCCGCCAGUAUUCUGGCUGGGCAUGCCUGUUCGAGCGUCAUUACAACCCUCAGGCCCCCGGGCCUGGCGUUGGGGAUCGGCGNGAAGCCCCCUGCUGGGCACAACGCCGUCCCCCAAAUACAGUGGCGGUCCCGCCGCAGCAUUCCAUUGCGUAGUAGCUAACACCUCGCAACUGGAGAGCGGCGCGGCCACGCCGUAAAACACCCAACUUCUGAAUGUUGACCUCGAAUCAGGUAGGAAUACCCUGCUGAACUUAAUGC